rnacentral:rRNA from 1 species
GAACCUGCGGAGGGAUCAUUACCGAGUUAUCAACUCCCAAACCCCUGUGAACAUACCUUUUGUUGCCUCGGCGGGAUCGCCCCGGCGCCUCCGGGCCCGGACCCAGGCGCCCGCCGCAGGACCCAAACUCUUGUUUUCUAUAUGAAUCUUCUGAGUGACACAAGCAAAUAAAUUAAAACUUUCAACAACGGAUCUCUUGGUUCUGGCAUCGAUGAAGAACGCAGCGAAAUGCGAUAAGUAAUGUGAAUUGCAGAAUUCAGUGAAUCAUCGAAUCUUUGAACGCACAUUGCGCCCGGCAGUAUUCUGCCGGGCAUGCCUGUUCGAGCGUCAUUUCAACCCUCAAGCCCCCGGGCUUGGUGUUGGAGAUCGGCCCGCCCUCGUGGCUGGCCGGCUCCGAAAUCUAGUGGCGGUCCCGCUGUAGCCUCCUCUGCGUAGUAGCAAUAUCUCGCACCGGAACGCGGCGGAGCCUUGCCGUAAAACCCCCAACUUCUGAAGGUUGACCUCGGAUCAGGUAGGAAUACCCGCUGAACUUAAGCAUAUCAAUAAGC